rnacentral:rRNA from 1 species
ACAGUCACACAUUAGAUACCCCUGUAGUCCCAGCCGUAAACUAUGCGCGUUAGGUGUAUCGGUGACCACGAGUCACCGAGGUGCCGAAGGGAAACCGUGAAACGUGCCGCCUGGGAAGUACGGUCGCAAGGCUAGAAACUUAAAGGAAUUGGCGGGGAGCACCACAACGGGUGGAGCCUGCGGUUUAAUUGGACUCAACGCCGGGAAGCUCACCGGAUAAGACAGCGGAAUGAUUGCCGGGCUGAAGACUCUGCAUGACUAGCUG